rnacentral:rRNA from 1 species
UACACUCCUACGGGAGGCAGCAGUGGGGAAUAUUGGACAAUGGGCGCAAGCCUGAUCCAGCCAUGCCGCGUGAGUGAUGAAGGCCCUAGGGUUGUAAAGCUCUUUCACCGGAGAAGAUAAUGACGGUAUCCGGAGAAGAAGCCCCGGCUAACUUCGUGCCAGCAGCCGCGGUAAUACGAAGGGGGCUAGCGUUGUUCGGAAUUACUGGGCGUAAAGCGCACGUAGGCGGAUCGAUCAGUCAGGGGUGAAAUCCCAGGGCUCAACCCUGGAACUGCCUUUGAUACUGUCGAUCUGGAGUAUGGAAGAGGUGAGUGGAAUUCCGAGUGUAGAGGUGAAAUUCGUAGAUAUUCGGAGGAACACCAGUGGCGAAGGCGGCUCACUGGUCCAUUACUGACGCUGAGGUGCGAAAGCGUGGGGAGCAAACAGGAUUAGAAACCCGGGUAGUCCCAUG